UUUGUAAAGAGUCUUGAUUGGAUGAAAAUUGGUCCAAAGAUGUUAGAGAAUUGUUGGAAAGAUCCAAAUAUUGCAAACUUUUCUUCCACACCCAAUUUGGUACGGCCCCGCUUAUUUGGUUGUUUGAAAGGUCAAGUUCUUCUAAGCUCUCUUGACUCUUUAGAAAUGCUGGAAACGUACUUAUAUUACAGGAUCUCAAACGCAACGAAAUCAGCAUUGGAAAGGAGGAAUUUGCAUCAUCAAAAGGAAACUGAUUCGGAAUGUCAAUCGCAUUGGAAGAAAGGUCUAAUAUUUCAAGUGUGCUCUUCCACAACCAAUUUGGUACUGCCCCGCUUAUUUGGUUAUUUGAAAGGUCAAGUUCUUCUAAGCUCUCUUGACUCUUUAGAAAUGCUGGAAACGUACUUAUAUUACAAGAUGCCAACAACAAAAAUCUCAGCAUUGGAAAGGAGGAAUUUGCAUCAUCAAAAGGAAACUGAUUCGGAAUGUCAAUCGCAUUGGAAGAAAGGUCUACCGAUAUAAGUGUGCUCUUCCACAACCAAUUUGGUACUGCCCCGCUUAUUUGGUUAUUUGAAAGGUAAAGAUAUUCUAAGCUCUCUUGACUCUUUAGAAAUGCUGGAAACGUACUUAUAUUACAAGAUUCCAAAAACAACGAUCUCAGCAUUGGAAAGGAGGAAUUUGCAUCAUCAAAAGGAAACUGAUUCGGAAUGUCAAUCGCAUUGGAAGAAAG
rnacentral:lncRNA from 1 species